rnacentral:piRNA from 1 species
UAAGGAAUUCUGUAAGACCAUGGAUGGUAGU